GAAAAGGCCUCCAUUCAACACUGAAUUCUCACACAAGAAAGUUCAUGGGAAUCUUAAAUGGGAUCAAUACUGAUGCAUGGAAUCCUCGCACUGAUAAUUUUCUCAAAGUGCAGUAUAGUGCUAAUGAUAAGCAAGGGAAAGCAGAAAAUAAAGCUGCAAUGAGAAGGAAUCUAGGGCUUUCAUCUGCUGAUGAUCAACGGCCAGUGGUAGGCUGCAUAACAAGAUUGGUGCCACAGAAAGGUGUUCAUCUGAUUAAGCAUGCCAUAUAUCGAACAUUGGAGAUGGGCAGUCAGUUUGUACUUCUUGGUUCAUGUCCAGUUCCCCACAUUCAGAGGGAAUUUGAGGGUAUAGCAAACCAAUUCCAAAACCACGAACACAUUCGGCUAAUACUAAAAUACGACGAGUCUCUUUCUCAUGCCAUUUACGCAGCAUCUGACAUGUUCAUCUUCCCAUCUAUUUUUGAACCUUGUGGCCUUACACAGUGCUUGUACAAGAGAUUUACACUAUAAUGAUUUGUACAAUAUACGAAGUUGAUGACUGAUCCAAAUUCACCCAUUAUUGAUUUUUAUCCGACCGAUUUUGAAGUUGACAUGAAUGGCAAGCGGUAUUCUUGGCAGGGUCUUGCAAAAUUGCCUUUCAUUGAUGAAGAGCAACUUCUUGCUGAGGUUGCAAAAAUAGAACACACUUUGACGGAUGAAGAAGCACAGAGAAACAGUACAGUGUGUGACAUGCUUUUUGUGGCUGCAUCACACCGCCUCUCUGAACAAAUCUUUUCUCUUGACAGUCGUAAACAAUUGCCAGAAAGGCAACAGAUUGAAGUCAAGGAGGAAGUCAAACCUAAUUUGAGGUGGGAUAUAUUUUAGAAUUCAGUGUGCCUUGACUAUUUUCCAUACUAGAAGAAGUUUAAUCAAUUUGCUUGCAAAAACUCUUCAAGGUCUAUCUCUUUUCAUCUUCUUAAUUAAUUGUUAAUCUUCCCAAUGGCCGCCUACCAAAGAAAACGACGUUUUGCUAAUCAAACUAGGAGGAACUGAGGUAUCAACUAUUUGCAGUUGUGAAACAUUCCGGAUUAAUCAGACCUACUUCUGGACACUAUGUUUGCUACAUUCGAUUCUCUCCUAAUAUGUGGCAUAAGAUGAAUAAUUCAAGGCUGCUAUAGUUAUGUAAAGAGAAUGGGGCCUGCCAAUAAUAAUGAGCAUGUGGGCACUAAAUCUGCAGUUCAAAUUCGAAGUCAUGCUCAAAAGUUUUUCUCUAAGGCUCAUUGCUUUGAGUUCAUUACAAGAUUUCCUUGAUUAAGAAAAUGUAUUAUAUCUUUUAUUACCAAGAUUUACUUGAUUAAGAAAAUUCAUUGUAUUUUUUAUUACCUUGCAAUGUGUAUAGUCAUAGGCAAGGUUUGUUUCUCA